CAGCAGCCACGGUAACACGUAGGUGGCAAGCGUUGUCCGGAAUUAUUGGGCGUAAAGGGCUCGCAGGCGGUUUCUUAAGUCUGAUGUGAAAGCCCCCGGCUCAACCGGGGAGGGUCAUUGGAAACUGGGAAACUUGAGUGCAGAAGAGGAGAGUGGAAUUCCACGUGUAGCGGUGAAAUGCGUAGAGAUGUGGAGGAACACCAGUGGCGAAGGCGACUCUCUGGUCUGUAACUGACGCUGAGGAGCGAAAGCGUGGGGAGCGAACAGGAUUAGAUACCCCGGUAGUCCCUGUCUCUUAUAC
rnacentral:rRNA from 1 species